GCUCCAGUGGCGUAGUCAUCCGUGCGUGGUCCUUAUAAGAUAGUAAACUGUUGAGAAAUGCUGAGAUUGUGAGUUCAAGCCUCACCUGGAGCA
rnacentral:tRNA from 1 species